CCUACGGGUGACAGCAGUGGGGAAUAUUGGGCAAUGGGCGAAAGCCUGACCCAGCAACGCCGCGUGAAGGAAGAAGGUUCUCGGGUUGUAAACUUCUUUUGACAGGGAAGCGAAGAAGACGGUACCUGUCGAAUAAGCCACGGCUAACUACGUGCCAGCAGCUGCGGUCAUACGUAGGUGGCAAGCGUUGUCCGGAUUUACUGGGUGUAAAGGGCGUGUAGCCGGGCUGACAAGUCCGAUGUGAAAUCCGGGGGCUCAACCCCCGAACUGCAUUUGAAACUGUUGGUCUUGAGUAUCGGAGAGGCAGGCGGAAUGCCUGGUGUAGCGGUGAAAUGCGUAGAUAUUAGGAGGAACACCGGUGGCGAAGGCGGCCUGCUGGACGACAACUGACGGUGAGGCGCGAAAGCGUGGGGAGCGAACAGGAUUAGAUACCCCGGUAGUC
rnacentral:rRNA from 1 species